GCGCCCGUAGCUCAGCUGGAUAGAGCACCAGGCUUCGAACCUGGGUGUCGGGAGUUCGAAUCUCUCCGGGCGCG
rnacentral:tRNA from 1 species